rnacentral:rRNA from 1 species
GACGAACGCUGGCGGCGUGCUUAACACAUGCAAGUCGAACGGUGAAGGGACCAGCUUGCUGGUUCUGGAUGAGUGGCGAACGGGUGAGUAACACGUGAGUAACCUGCCCCCUUCUUCUGGAUAACCGCAUGAAAGUGUGGCUAAUACGGGAUAUUCUGGGUCUGUCGCAUGGCGGGCCCGGGAAAGAUAUUGCUUCGGUGGGGGAUGGGCUCGCGGCCUAUCAGCUUGUUGGUGGGGUGAUGGCCUACCAAGGCGGUGACGGGUAGCCGGCCUGAGAGGGUGGACGGUCACACUGGGACUGAGACACGGACCAGACUCCUACGGGAGGCAGCAGUGGGGAAUAUUGCACAAUGGGAGAAAGCCUGAUGCAGCGACGCCGCGUGAGGGAUGGAGGCCUUCGGGUUGUAAACCUCUUUCGCCAGUGAAGCAGGCCUGCUCCUUGUGGGUGGGUUGACGGUAGCUGGAUAAGAAGCGCCGGCUAACUACGUG